UACGGGGGGGGUAAGCGUUGUUCGGAAUUAUUGGGCGUAAAGCGCUCGCAGGCGGUCCGAUGCGUCGUGCGUGAAAGACCCCGGCUCAACUGGGGGAGGUCGUGCGAUACGGUCGGACUCGAGGCCAGUAGGGGGAUGCGGAAUUCCGGGUGUAGUGGUGGAAUGCGUAGAGAUCCGGAGGAACACCAGCGGCGAAGGCGGCAUCCUGGACUGGUCCUGACGCUCAGGAGCGAAAGCGUGGGGAGCGAACAGG
rnacentral:rRNA from 1 species